CUACGUGCCAGCAGCCGCGGUAAUACGUAGGGUGCGAGCGUUAAUCGGAAUUACUGGGCGUAAAGCGGGCGCAGACGGUUACUUAAGCAGGAUGUGAAAUCCCCGGGCUCAACCUGGGAACUGCGUUCUGAACUGGGUGACUAGAGUGUGUCAGAGGGAGGUAGAAUUCCACGUGUAGCAGUGAAAUGCGUAGAGAUGUGGAGGAAUACCGAUGGCGAAGGCAGCCUCCUGGGAUAACACUGACGUUCAUGCCCGAAAGCGUGGGUAGCAAACAGGAUUAGAUACCCUGGUAGUCCACGCCCUAAACGAUGUCGAUUAGCUGUUGGGCAGCAUGACUGCUUAGUAGCGUAGCUAACGUGUGAAAUUGACCGCCUGGGGAGUACGGUCGCAAGAUUAAAACUCAAAGGAAUUGACGGGGACCCGCACAAGCGGUGGAUGAUGUGGAUUAAUUCGAUGCAACGCGAAGAACCUUACCUGGUCUUGACAU
rnacentral:rRNA from 1 species